AUUGGACGGGGCUGCAGCUGGAGGUUUUUGUUUAGUAUUGAUCGUGUUGGAUUUUUACAUUAGAUUUUCUCAGUUCGUGAAAAGCAGUCAAUAUUGCCAGUGGAGUGGCGAGUCCAUUAGAUGAGAUCAGAACCGUGGCUGAUAAUAGGACUCUGUAAUUUACUUCCUUGGUUGCUCACAAGAACCAAACAACUAUAUAUCAAUGAGCUAAAUCUUUUCUACGCUCGAUUUGAUGUUGCCAGCAUUGAGUCGCUGAGAGCCGUUGAUACGACCUGCAGCUUGGUCAUCUCUGAGGCUGAAGUAUGCUGGCGUUUCCAACGAGUGGACAGUCACAAGGCUGCGAGACCAGAUGGCAUCCCUGGGCGGGUACUUCAGUGUGUGCAUGGCACAACUGGCAGCAUGGAAUAGGCUCUUUUGGCCUCUCAAGCCAAUCCCCCAGUUUAAUCCGAGCCUAAUCACGGGACAAUUUACAAUGACCAAUUAAUCUACCAAUGGAUACAUCUUUGGACUGUGGGAGGAAACUGGAAGACCUGGAGGAAACCCACGCAGUUACGGGGAGAAUAUACAAACUCCUUACAGGCAGCAGCGGGAAUUGAACUCUGAUCACUGGUAUUGUUCUGGCUGCCAAGCGACCGUCUCCAUUGCGAGAAUACUGAAAACCCCAGCCACAAUAAAUUAUCUCUCCUCAGCCUCUGCCACUUCAAUGCAAUCAACCACCCCACUUGCCUUUAUUUUUUCUCCCCUGUUAGCAAACACAAUGAGAAUGCCCAUAUUUGGAUUCUCCCUUGCCCAUCCAAUUGUAAUUAGGAUCUUUGCCCCACCCACCAUAAAUAAAUACUGUAAACACAAUUUGAUCAGUAAAAUAUUCAUCAAUGACAUUUUGGAACUAUGUCCCUCUAAAUUACUUGAACGUUGUGAACCUAGGCUAGAACAUUGUACAUCAAAGGGUCACUGUCUUGUCAGCCUUUUCUCUAUCAACACAUAAUGAAACUGGCCAUGUAAUGUCUUGCUCAACAGUUACUUUAUAGUAUUGUUGGUAAAUUAUACUUCAGCUACUACUUUCCUGUUAUUGCUAUAAUAGAAGUGAAUUGCAUUUUUCAAAGUAAUAUAGAUAAUAAUUUCCCAAAUUAAUAGCAGUAGGGCACUAAGCCCCUUACGUUUUAAUUCAAUUUUAUUACAGCUGAUCUGCAACUCAGCUCAAUUUAAUCAACUGAAUUCUGCAAACUUUAAUACACAUGCUGAAUAAAACUUCAGUUUUUGGGUUUAUAAGUUAGGAAUAGCAGUGGUUCAACCUAAGGGUGUUAUCUGGAAGAGAGGCCCCAAGGUGGCAGGGCUAGAGAUUUUGUAUCCAUGUGGGCUGCGAGAGAAUGAGGUAAAGAGAAUGGUUUCACUCUAAUCUUCUUGCAUCAAAAUUUGGCUUAAAGUUAAAAUUUAAAAUUAAGUUAUGUUAAAAUUUCAUGGGGUUAGUCUGAAGCUCAUUGCAUCAAUAAGAUACGGCAAAUUUUGGUUCAGAAUAUUAAAAUAGAACUCUUAGUAUUAAAUUUAUCCUAUAUAUGAACCACAUAAAAUAUCAAUUAAAAAUCAAGUGGUUCCUUUACAAUCCAUAACUAAAUUGGUAAGAAAUCCUACAGGAGCUAUACAUGCUAUGCUGUUCCAGUCUCUGUGUACAUAUCUUUUGUUCUUCUAUUUUGAUCUUAAUGUUCUCAAGUGAGAUUGCCUGAUACAUCUUCCUGUAUUUGAUACUCUGUAUAACUGUUUAGAUAUAGAGAUGUCCGCACUUUGAUCUCGAAUCCUUUCUUCAAAGACCGUCAGUCCAAACUACAGCACCCAGACUUCACAUAUAAUUAUUGGACUAUCCAUUCCUGCUUUUGAUGUAUUAAAAUGGUAUCAAGUGUCAUCUGACUCCCUUCUCUAUUUUUUGUUAGAUUUACAUUUUAGAUAUACCCUAAAAAAGGAUUAAAUUUCACAUUCCAAAACUUUCAUUUAACAUUUUCAUGUCAGCUGUGCAAAUUUAUAUAGAACUGUCAAAUCUCUAUAAAAAUAUUUCUGUGCAUUCCCACCAUAUUUGUAUAACUCUCCAAUUCUAAAAUAUAUUACAAGUUGAUGUGCAAAUAAGAAGAAAUAAAUUUAUCUAUUUCACCCUAAAUACUGUUGAACUUUCUAUGAAUGUCUUUCUAUUUUUCAAAUGUACUGAAUGUAGAAUCCAGAUUUAUAAAAUAAUAAACCUUAAAGCAUCUUCCAAAGGCACAACAGUACACAUGGAGAGAAACGGGUAACUCCCUUAAUUAGCAAGGACCAAUAAUUAUUGCAAUUUAUGCCAAACCUAAUGGCACAGUAUCUAGGAACAACAAAUCCAGCUCACACAAAUUGUUUCAACACAUUUUCUGUUGCAAAUUUGAAUUAAGUAGUAUGCCAUAUUCAUGUUCAUGUUUGCUUCAAAAAGCCUGUUUAAUAAAGGUUAAUCUUUUGACUGUUAUAAGCUUGAAGGAAAUAUAUUUCUUAAAUAAUUUAUGGUAAUUCCCAUUGCAAGAGCCAGCUUUAAUCUUUCAUCUCAUCUGAAAUUCAUAUUUACAUUCUUCUUUCUACAAAUGAAGUAUUUUGUUCCCACUUUAACAACUGUAUUAGUAGUUUCUCCAAAGUACAUUCAAAGGGAAACUUGUGAAAUGGAAUUGCUAUGUAGCCUCAUUAAAACUUGCUUAAAAAGAAUGAAUAUAUCAAAUACAGGAUCUUAGGUUACAUUCCAGCCUCUAAAUUGAAAUAGCAAAUCACGUGACAAAUGCCAAGGAGACAACUAUCAGGCUAGCUCGCCCUUCCAUGGAAACUUUUCAAGAUAUGUACUGUAUGUCAAGCAUUCCUUUGCUUUUCAAUUGUAAUUGAGACAAAAAUAAA